UGGGCCUGUCAUGGCUGCAGCACAGACAGAUAGACACACACACACACAGAGACACAAACAGACAUACACACACAGAGAUAGGCCCAACAGUCAUUCCUGCUACUGUGGCCCAAGGGAGGUUCUCAGAGCAAGUGAGGCCAGGAGCCCCCGCGAGGUUUAUUGCCCACACACCGGUGUGAGAGAGCUGGGUCUCCCCCUCCUCGGUCCGAACCCUCCCUUGUCACCCACCUCAGCCUCCGCACAGUGCUGGCUGCACGAGGAAGCUGUGAACAUUCUCUUCCUGAAUCCCCAGCUGUGGGGCCACACCCCCAGGCGCUCCCUCCCUGUGACCCAUGAACAGGGAGGAGGUCUGACUCGCAGUGACCUCAUCAGGUGACUCAGCACACAGCGAACACGGCCCAGGGUGUGUUAGGGACCCCAGGCCCAGGUGAAGGGCCACAUGGAACUUUGCAGGCCUCCCGGCUUACAGCUGAGAAAGCAGAGCUGAUGCCGCCUGGGAGAGCGGGGCUGCGUGGGCUCAGAGCUGCAGAAGAGAGUGUAGCCCUGCGACCCAGCUUGGGCCAACAAGACUUAAGGAAAAGUGGCUAACUGUGCAUAGGAGAGAUCCGCUUCCCUGAUGAGAGCACAGCCCCUCCCCGUUUCCUGUCUUCCACCUCCUUCCUGGAAUUAGGAGAGGAGGCUGGAGGUGGGGUAGCCAUCUUGUGACAAUGAGCUAACCAUAAGGAUGAGAGCCACACACCAAGGAAUCCUGAAGGAGCCCAGGCCAUGACCCCUCGACUACCUCUUAUUCUGAGAGACAAAUAAAUCUCAUUGAAGCCACUUUGCUUAGGGCUACACUAUAUUUAGCCGAACUCCAUCUAGUAAAGGCAGAUAACCAUCUGUGAGCACUUCUGGAGGAGAUGCUGGUCCUAACAGAGGGCAGAGGGCAAGGUUAGGAGAAGGUGAGGGGUGAAGAGGCUGGCCUUUCUGGGAUUCUAUCAAAGGACCAGGGCAAGGGCUCACUCAGAGCUUGAGGAAGAGGCUCCAGCCUUAGGGGCCCUAAUGUGUCUGUGACCUUGGCCUUCUCCUGACUCCACUUGGUUUCACUUGUGAAAUGAGGUUGCUGGAGUAGAUAACUUUUCAAAGGCUAUAGUGCUUCAGGCUUGGGCUUUGGAGUCAGACAAAGCUAGGUUCAGGACCCAGCUCCAUCACUUACUAGCUGUGUAUCUUGCAGUCAGUUUUUUCGUUGACCUCCCUAGCAUUGCCGUCUG
rnacentral:lncRNA from 1 species